rnacentral:rRNA from 1 species
CCUACGGGCGGCAGCAGUGAGGAAUAUUGGUCAAUGGGCGUAAGCCUGAACCAGCCAAGUCGCGUGAGGGAUGAAGGUACUAAGGAUCGUAAACCUCUUUUAUCAGGGAAUAAAGACUGGGACGUGUCCCGUUUUGUAUGUACCUUCUGAAUAAGGAUCGGCUAACUCCGUGCCAGCAGCCGCGGUAAUACGGAGGAUCCGAGCGUUAUCCGGAUUUAUUGGGUUUAAAGGGUUCGUAGGCGGCCCUUGAAGGCAGCUGUGAAAGUCUGUGGCUCAACCAUAGACGUGCCGUUGAAACUGGGAGGCUUGAGUAUGUUUGAGGCAGGCGGAAUGCGUGGUGUAGCGGUGAAAUGCUUAGAUAUCACGCAGAACCCCGAUUGCGAAGGCAGCCUGCCAAGCCAUGACUGACGCUGAGGCACGAAAGCGUGGGGAUCAAACAGGAUUAGAUACCCCGGUAGUC